AUAUAUAUAUAUAUACAUCCUUCUAAUACAACACAAAAACUCAAAUGGUUGAUGCCAACUUGCAGAAAUAAAAGUUUUCUAUGUCCAAAUCAUGGAUUAAACAUUAACUAACUAUUCCUAUCGAAAUCAAAUUUAUAACUUCAAUGUACUAUACUAGGCUACAAUUUUCCAGAAAUAAAUAAAUUGAAAUAAUUGCUUGCCAAAUCUAAAAGUCUAGACUUCAUGAUUAAAUUUUCAUAUUUUACACACUAGCUAACUCACUACCCUACAAGAACUUCAUUUACAACUUCAAAUACCCAUCCCAAACAUUAUGAUUCAAAGAACCAACUAAUUAAUUGCUGCUAACUCAAGGAAUUCAAAAUUCUCUAUUUAAUACCCAAAAUAUAUCCACCAUUCUUUAAUCAUUACUAAAAUUCUAGAUUAGGCAUUACAAACCAAUGUUUCCAUUAAGUUGCAAUUUAGUAAUCUCAUCUCUCAAGUAAUCCAAUACACAGCUUAAACAUAUAUACCAACCCCAACAAGUAUAAUUAUCUACCUUUUAAUUUCAUCAGGUAUACCAGCUUCUAAGAACCUUCAACAAUAUAAAUAUUUAUCUUCUAAAUCAAUCCCAACGAUAAAAAGCUAUUUAACUGUAAUUCAUUGGGCUUAAACACUAAAUUAGUUCAUACACCCCAUUACAGCCAAUUAUUUAAAAACUAUUAAAUCCUUGACUCCUAUUCAAAGAGUAAAUAUCUAAUUAACACUUAAAAUUUUCUAAAGUUCUAAACCAAUUAAUUAAACAUAUCCGGCUACCGCAAAUACCACAGACUAAUCAAAUUUAAUUAUUUAUAGAAGAGUAAAAAUAUUCUAUUUAUAUAUAGACUAUUCCCAUAAUCUUAUUUCUUGUUAUUUAAUUAACUCUACUUAUAUAUAAUCCUAUCUAAAUAAUUAAAAUCUUAUUAUUUUAUUGUACCUACUUUGAUAAUUAAUCCACAUAAAUUUGCUAAGGUCACUAAAUCUAAACUUCUAUAGUUUUUCAGCUAUAACAUCGAAUUUUUAAAUUUGCGUCGAAUAAUUAUUUGAAGGUCAAUUGAAUUCGGUUUGCAAAACUAACUGUAUAUUCGUAAUCUACAUAAAAAGGUCAACAUU
rnacentral:lncRNA from 1 species